rnacentral:rRNA from 1 species
GACGAACGCUGACGGUGUGCUUUAGACAUGCAAGUCGAACGCGAAAGCCCUUCGGGGUUAGUAGAGUGGCGAACGGGUGAGUAACACGUGGGCAAUCUGCCCCUCGCAGGGGGACAACCGGAGGAAACCCCGGCUAAUACCCCGUACGCUUGUGGGACCGCAUGGUUCCGCAAGGAAAGGUAGCUUCGGCCAUCCGGCGAGGGAUGAGCCCGCGGUGCAUUAGCUAGUUGGUGAGGUAACGGCCCACCAAGGCAACGAUGCAUAGCUGGUCUGAGAGGAUGAUCAGCCACACUGGGACUGAGACACGGCCCAGACUCCUACGGGAGGCAGCAGUCGGGAAUCUUGCGCAAUGGGCGAAAGCCUGACGCAGCAACACCGUGUGAGCGACGAAGGCC